AUACAGAGGGUGCAAGCGUUAAUCGGAAUUACUGGGCGUAAAGCGCGCGUAGGCGGUUUGUUAAGUCGGAUGUGAAAUCCCCGGGCUCAACCUGGGAACUGCAUUCGAAACAGGCGAGCUAGAGUAUGGUAGAGGAUAGUGGAAUUCCGGGUGUAGCGGUGAAAUGCGUAGAUAUCCGGAGGAACAUCAGUGGCGAAGGCGGCUAUCUGGACCAAUACUGACGCUGAGGUGCGAAAGCGUGGGGAGCAAACAGGAUUAGAAACCCUAGUAGUCC
rnacentral:rRNA from 1 species